UAGGGAAUCUUCCACAAUGGACGCAAGUCUGAUGGAGCAACGCCGCGUGAGUGAAGAAGGUUUUCGGACCGUAAAGCUCUGUUGUUGGUGAAGAAGGAUAGAGGUAGUAACUGGCCUUUAUUUGACGGUAAUCAACCAGAAAGUCACGGCUAACUACGUGCCAGCAGCCGCGGUAAUACGUAGGUGGCAAGCGUUGUCCGGAUUUAUUGGGCGUAAAGCGAGCGCAGGCGGAAGAAUAAGUCUGAUGUGAAAGCCCUCGGCUUAACCGAGGAAUUGCAUCGGAAACUGUUUUCUUGAGUGCAGAAGAGGAGAGUAGAACUCCAUGUGUAGCGGUGGAAUGCGUAGAUAUAUGGAAGAAUACCAGUGGCGAAGGCGGCUCUCUGGUCUGCAACUGACGCUGAGGCUCGAAAGCAUGGGUAGCGAACAGGAUUAGAUACCCUGGUAGUCCAUGCCGUAAACGAUGAGUGCUAAGUGUUGGGAGGCUUCCGCCUCUCAGUGCUGCAGCUAACGCAUUAAGCACUCCGCCUGGGGGAGUACGACCGCAAG
rnacentral:rRNA from 1 species